rnacentral:rRNA from 1 species
GGAUGAAGGAAGUAAAGUUAAUACCUUUGCUCAUNGACGUUACCCGCAGAAGAAGCACCGGCUAACUUCCGUGCCAGCAGCCGCGGUAAUACGGAGGGUGCAAGCGUUAAUCGGAAUUACUGGGCGUAAAGCGCACGCAGGCGGUUUGUUAAGUCAGAUGUGAAAUCCCCGGGCUCAACCUGGGAACUGCAUCUGAUACUGGCAAGCUUGAGUCUCGUAGAGGGGGGUAGAAUUCCAGGUGUAGCGGUGAAAUGCGUAGAGAUCUGGAGGAAUACCGGUGGCGAAGGCGGCCCCCUGGACGAAGACUGACGCUCAGGUGCGAAAGAGUGGGGAGCAAACAGGAUUAGAUACCCUGGUAGUCCACGCCGUAAACGAUGUCGACUUGGAGGUUGUGCCCUUGAGGCGUGGCUUCCGGAGCUAACGCGUUAAGUCGACCGCCUGGGGAGUACGGCCGCAAGGUUAAAACUCAAAUGAAUUGACGGGGGCCCGCACAAGCGGUGGAGCAUGUGGUUUAAUUCGAUGCAACGCGAAGAACCUUACCUGGUCUUGACAUCCACGGAAGUUUUCAGAGAUGAGAAUGUGCCUUCGGGAACCGUGAGACAGGUGCUGCAUGGCUGUCGUCAGCUCGUGUUGUGAAAUGUUGGGUUAAGUCCCGCAACGAGCGCAACCCUUAUCCUUUGUUGCCAGCGGUCCGGCCGGGAACUCAAAGGAGACUGCCAGUUAUCCCCGAGAUCCCCACCGUUGCUCCAGAUGUCCCAGCCGCCAACGGCUACUCCGGCUAUUGAGCGAUCUAAUCCAAGACUCUAUUUAAUUUUUCGUUUUACAAAACUGU